AGCCUGUGAUAUAAUAGCUUUUUCAAGGAGUUUUUUAUUGAGGCUCUUAGUGGUUCUCACUUAGCCAAUUCUUGAAUAGGAGGGAUAACCUCCGAAAGAAAAAGUGAUAAC
rnacentral:sRNA from 12 species